AGGAAACCGAGAAAGACAGAGGAUUCUAGAGACUGGAUGCAAAAAAGGUGCUAACCAUUUUUGCAGAGACAACGAAAUGCUGACGUUCUUACCCCGUUAUGUCUCCGUGUGUGCAGGAAGUGGGUACAGCCGAAAAGAGAAGCUGCCACGGUAGCGUGCAUCACCAACCACAGAGCACAGAGUCAACUCUUCACCCCUCAGUUUCUCUUUGCAGAGGGGGAAGUGGGAGUUUGCUGAGGCUGACCUGCUGAUAAACACUGCCAGGCCUUGAACUAUGCUGGAUUUUUCUUCGCAGAAAUGGAUGGAUAGAUGAGAAACUUGUGCCGUGCAGUAGAUUUGCUAGAAGAUCCUUAUCUGACACUGUGGGAAGCUGUGUGAGAAGGGAAGUGUUUGCAUACCGUUGAUCAUCAACACUGCUUGAAAUUUGCUCUAGUGAUACGGACAGGGCAGGACAAGAGCCAAGCGCUCAUUUUCAAGAUGGAGUUCAGAAUCAGAUGAGCUCUCCUGCUGUCUUGUCUCUCCUCCUGUUUCUCCUCUCUCACGCUCCCUCGAUUCGCACCGCAGAGCCCGAGCAGCUGUACUCCAGUCUACCGGGGUCGUAAAAACCAGGGCCGAAAGAGGAAGUUCUGAGGGAGCUUGUGAGUUAUUGCCCCCCAACGUACACAUGGGGGCCUGGGAACUGCCCUCCACCCUCACCAAGCCUGAAACAAGACUGACGGCUGAAGCUUGAUGCCCCUUCACCCUGUGUGUACACAAUCUCCAUUACACACACUAAAGGGAGUGACCCUAAACCUUGUAUGUACAGCUCAUCAGCAAUAUGGGAACGUAUGUGUCACUGUAAUUGGGUUAGAUCUGUAAGGCUACUUCAUCUGUCUGAUUAACUAGGCUUUUAAGAACGUUCAGUUCACAGUGUGUUUGCAUAAUGUUAUCAGAGAAAAACAUUUUAUCCUGCAUUUUUAAACUAUUUUUUAAAGUAAAUUGUUCUGAUAUAGUAAGGCACUUACAGUAGAAGUAAACUGGUCCUGCACUUUGAAGGUUUAAAAGCAAAGAAGCUUGUAUUACAUUAAUUCGUUCUUUAAAUUGUUUUAUUCGAGCUGUUAAGGUAGUUGUGUAAAUCAUUUUUGUGUGUGUUGGGACUACUUUUCUAGGUAGAGAAUUCAUCAUCAAUUUGUUUGGUUUUUCUUACAUUGCACCUUGUCUAUAUCAUUCAAACAUUACAGGAAGUUGUGAUAUUGGAUAUUGCUAUGGUAACUCUAAUGCUAACACAUUAAGGCUUGGUUUCACCGGUUUAGGCCUUAGUUCACAUUUAAAGGGUUAGUUCACCCCAAAAUGAAAAUUCUGUCAUUCUUACCCUCAUGCCGUUCCAC